rnacentral:lncRNA from 1 species
GAAUUCAACAUUACAAAAAUUUUGAACUUUUUUUUCAAGUGGUUACUGAACCAUGAAAAUGAGGUCAAGGACAUUGGACAUGUGACUGACGGAAACUUCGUAACAUGAGGCAUCUAUAUACAAAGUAUGAAGCAUCCAGGUCUUUCACCUUCUAAAAUAUAAACCUUUUAAGAAGUUAGCUAACGCCGCCGCCGUAGCCGCCGGAUCACUAUCCCUAUGUCGAGCUUUCUGCAACAAAAGUUGCAGGCUCGACAAAAACCGGA